GGGUUGGUGGUGUAGUGGUAACAUGUGCCGCGGCUACAGUCUUUCCCGCGGGCACGUCCCAGGUUCGGGUUCGAGUUCGAGUCCUGGCCGACCUG